rnacentral:piRNA from 1 species
UGAGGUAGCAGGAUGAUGCCGAAAAGCA